rnacentral:rRNA from 1 species
CGUAGGGUGCGAGCGUUAAUCGGAAUUACGUGGGCGUAAAGCGUGCGCAGGCGGUUUUGUAAGACAGGCGUGAAAUCCCCGGGCUCAACCGUGGGAACUGCGCUUGUGACUGCAAGGCUAGAGUACGGCAGAGGGGGUGGAAUUCCACGUGUAGCAGUGAAAUGCGUAGAGAUGUGGAGGAACACCAAUGGCGAAGGCAGCCCCCUGGGUCGAUACUGACGCUCAUGCACGAAAGCGUGGGUAGCAAACAGGAUUAGAUACCCUGGUAGUCCACGCCCUAAACGAUGUCAACUAGGUGUUGGGUGGGUAAAACCAUUUAGUACCGGAGCUAACGCGUGAAGUUGACCGCCUGGGGAGUACGGCCGCAAGGUUA